rnacentral:lncRNA from 1 species
AUGGAGUGGGUACGACUGAUGCUCGGGGCUAUGCUCCUCUCCCUCUCUCUGCCCAGUCUCCCUGCCCAAGAUAAUGUCCCCAUCACUGUACCUGAAUAUGGCAUGGCAGCACCUACUACUGAGGACGGCACGAUGGCAGCCUCUUCACCCGAGGCCACCACCAAGACAACGACUGCUCCCGUGGUCGUCACUACAGCACAGCCUGUCACUGAAAUCACCCUGGUAACUUCUGUUCCAGUACUUAUCAUAGAUAACAUCACUAUAGUACUAACAGACCCUGAGAUCGCAACCAUUCAGGAGCCCACCUCUGAUGCACCAACUACUACUUCAGAGGCUGAGACGAUGACACCAUCCCCUGUGAUCACUGAAGGGCCUGUAGAUACGACCACUCCACCUGGCCCAAAAUCCACCCUCUCCCAAGACGUCCUGACUACCACCUCUUAUCUCCCAACCACAUCCCAGGACCACCUGACUUCUGUUAUCCCAGUCGGGCCCCUCCACACCACCCCUCAUCUGACGAACGACUCCUUUACUACACCUGAACCUAUCCACACUGCCUCAGAGAGUACUGCCAGCCACACAGAGGGACUUACCCAAGCACCCGCCUCCCCAUCGGUCAACAGCGCUCCCAGCCAUUUCACAACCCCCGCUACGACCUCCUCCUCCACAGAUCAUGACUCUACGGUGGGCAGGGUCAAGCGAAGUCCGCUCAGCUUGUUCUGGAUCAUCAUCGCCAGUCUCCUGGUCUGUGUUAUAUUCCCGGGCAUGGUCUACUGCAUAUAUCUGGGCGUCAGACGAAAGAGGCAGUGCCGCACUGAGUACUUUGGGUCCGGCGUCCGGAACGGGAAGAGUUCCAAGUGGAAGAAAGGAGCAGAGGAAGAUGCCUGGGCGGGGCCAGUGAAGCUAGGGGGCGGGGACAGGGAGGAGGGUGAGGGCGUGGAGGAGGGAGGGAGCCCAGAGGACAACAAGAGAGAGGGGGCUGGAACAGAUGUUGUGCUGAGCACAUUCAUAGCCAACGAGACCGAGGGAGAGAGGGGUGGGCCUGAUGGGGCAGUUGGAGUGGCUGGGAGCAAGGAGGCGGAGAAAUGGGAGGAGAAGGAGCCUCUGUUGUACAUUGAUGAGGGAGUGGAGGAGGUGCUGGAGAUAAUGGCUCCUCCUUCACUUUCAAAAUCUGACUCUGAGAAAAAGACAGGAGGGGGCAACAGAGAGGGAGAAAGUGAAAAGGAGAUGGAGAGGGGAGAAGGGAAUGGAAAGAAAGAAAAUGAGAGUGAAAGAGGUGAGCAGAAUGGAGGAGCGGCAUUCUGUCUAACGACUGCAGUUUAA